rnacentral:rRNA from 1 species
UACCAGCUCUCCGAGUGGUAGGGAUGUUUAUUGGGCUUAAAGCGUCCGUAGCCGGCUUAGCAAGUCUCCUGUUAAAUUCAGCGACCUAAUCGUUGAGCCGCGGGAGAUACUACUAGGCUAGGAGGCGGGAGAGGUCAACGGUACUUCCGGGGUAGGGGUGAAAUCCUAUAAUCCCGGGAGGACCACCAGUGGCGAAGGCUGUUGACUAGAACGCGCUCGACGGUGAGGGACGAAAGCUGGGGGAGCGAACCGGAUUAGAUACCCGGGUAGUCCCAGCUGUAAACGAUGCGAGCUAGGUGUUGGGGUGGCUACGUGCCACUUCAGUGCCGCAGGGAAGCCAUUAAGCUCGCCGCCUGGGGAGUACGGCCGCAAGGCUGAGACUUAAAGGAAUUGGCGGGGGAGCACCACAAGGCAUGAAGCUUGCGGUUC